rnacentral:rRNA from 1 species
UAGGGAAUCUUCGGCAAUGGGGGGAACCCUGACCGAGCAACGCCGCGUGAGUGAAGAAGGUUUUCGGAUCGUAAAGCUCUGUUGUUAAGGAAGAACGAGUGUGAGAAUGGAAAGGUCAUGCUGUGACGGUACUUAACCAGAAAGGGACGGCUAACUACGUGCCAGCAGCCGCGGUAAUACGUAGGUCCCGAGCGUUGUCCGGAUUUAUUGGGCGUAAAGCGAGCGCAGGCGGUUAGAAAAGUCUGAAGUGAAAGGCAGUGGCUCAACCAUUGUAGGCUUUGGAAACUGUUUAACUUGAGUGCAGAAGGGGAGAGUGGAAUUCCAUGUGUAGCGGUGAAAUGCGUAGAUAUAUGGAGGAACACCGGUGGCGAAAGCGGCUCUCUGGUCUGUAACUGACGCUGAGGAUCGAAAGCGUGGGGAGCGAACAGG